ensembl:Y_RNA Y_RNA Y RNA
GCCUGGUCCAAGCACAGCAGUGUUUAGAAUAAGUUGAUCACAGACCAUUACUGAUUUCUUUGUUUCUUCUUCACUCCCACUGCUUUACUUGACUAGCCUUAA